rnacentral:rRNA from 1 species
AGAGUUUGAUCCUGGCUCAGGAUGAACGCUGGCGGCGUGCCUAAUACAUGCAAGUCGAACGCACAGCGAAAGGUGCUUGCACCUUUCAAGUGAGUGGCGAACGGGUGAGUAACACGUGGAUAACCUACCUCAAGGUUGGGGAUAACAUUUGGAAACAGAUGCUAAUACCGAAUAAAACUUCGUAUCGCAUGAUACAAGGUUAAAAGGCGCUACGGCGUCACCUAGAGAUGGAUCCGCGGUGCAUUAGUUAGUUGGUGGGGUAAAGGCCUACCAAGACAACGAUGCAUAGCCGAGUUGAGAGACUGAUCGGCCACAUUGGGACUGAGACACGGCCCAAACUCCUACGGGAGGCUGCAGUAGGGAAUCUUCCACAAUGGGCGAAAGCCUGAUGGAGCAACGCCGCGUGUGUGAUGAAGGCUUUCGGGUCGUAAAGCACUGUUGUAUGGGAAGAACAGCUAGAGUAGGGGAUGACUUUAGUUUGACGGUACCAUACCAGAAAGGGACGGCUAAAUACGUGCCAGCAGCCGCGGUAAUACGUAUGUCCCGAGCGUUAUCCGGAUUUAUUGGGCGUAAAGCGAGCGCAGACGGUUGAUUAAGUCUGAUGUGAAAGCCCGGAGCUCAACUCCGGAAAGGCAUUGGAAACUGGUCAACUUGAGUGCAGUAGAGGUAAGUGGAACUCCAUGUGUAGCGGUGGAAUGCGUAGAUAUAUGGAAGAACACCAGCGGCGAAGGCGGCUUACUGGACUGUAACUGACGUUGAGGCUCGAAAGUGUGGGUAGCAAACAGGAUUAGAUACCCUGGUAGUCCACACCGUAAACGAUGAAC